AUUGAAACACUGGUUCUCAUAUGAUCACUAAAGUUAAGUAAUGUCGAGCCUGAUCAGUACCUUGAUAGGUGACCACUUGGGAAUACUAUCUGCUGGA